GAGGGUGUGGCUCAGUGGUAGAGUGCGUGCUUAGCAUGCACGAGGUCCUGGAUUCAAUUCCCAGUACCUCCA
rnacentral:tRNA from 1 species